CACGCUGUAAACGAUGAAUACUAGGUGUGGGAGGACUGACCCCUUCCGUGCCGCAGUUAACACAAUAAGUAUUCCACCUGGGGAGUACGACCGCAAGGUUGAAACUCAAAGGAAUUGACGGGGGCCCGCACAAGCAGUGGAUUAUGUGGUUUAAUUCGACGCAACGCGAAGAACCUUACCAGGACUUGACAUCCAACUAACGAAGUAGAGAUACAUUAGGUGCCCUUCGGGGAAAGUUGAGACAGGUGGUGCAUGGUUGUCGUCAGCUCGUGUCGUGAGAUGUUGGGUUAAGUCCCGCAACGAGCGCAACCCCUAUUGUUAGUUGCUACGCAAGAGCACUCUAGCGAGACUGCCGUUGACAAAACGGAGGAAGGCGGGGACGACGUCAAAUCAUCAUGCCCCUUAUGUCCUGGGCUACACACGUAAUACAAUGGCCGUCAACAGAGGGAAGCAAUACUGCGAGGUGGAGCAAAUCCCUAAAAACGGUCUCAGUUCGGAUUGCAGGCUGCAACUCGCCUGCAUGAAGCUGGAAUUGCUAGUAAUCGCGGAUC
rnacentral:rRNA from 1 species